rnacentral:sRNA from 23 species
AAUAAAGCUUUCUAGGGUUCCGCAAGGUGAUUACUUUGGUCUGGUCCGAGAGAAAGCCACAUAUUUUUAUGUGACACGGAAGGAUAAAAGCCUGGGAGAU